rnacentral:rRNA from 1 species
GGUCAAGUGAAGAAGCGCAUACGGUGGAUGCCUUGGCAGUCAGAGGCGAUGAAAGACGUGGUAGCCUGCGAAAAGCUUCGGGGAGUCGGCAAACAGACUGUGAUCCGGAGAUAUCUGAAUGGGGGAACCCAGCCAUCAUAAGAUGGUUAUCUUGUACUGAAUACAUAGGUGCAAGAGGCGAACCAGGGGAACUGAAACAUCUAAGUACCCUGAGGAAAAGAAAUCAACCGAGAUUCCCUUAGUAGUGGCGAGCGAACGGGGACCAGCCCUUAAGUUGUAUUGAGAUUAGCGGAACGUUCUGGAAAAGACGGCCAUAGUGGGUGAUAGCCCUGUACGCGAAAAUCCCUUUGCAAUGAAAUCGAGUAGGACGGGGCACGAGAAACCUUGUCUGAAUAUGGGGGGACCAUCCUCCAAGGCUAAAUACUACUGACUGACCGAUAGUGAACCAGUACCGUGAGGGAAAGGCGAAAAGAACCGCGGAGAGCGGAGUGAAAUAGAUCCUGAAACCGUAUGCGUACAAGCAGUGGGAGCCCACUUUGUUGGGUGACUGCGUACCUUUUGUAUAAUGGGUCAGCGACUUAUUUUCAGUGGCGAGCUUAACCGAAUAGGGGAGGCGUAGCGAAAGCGAGUCUUAAUAGGGCGUCUAGUCGCUGGGAAUAGACCCGAAACCGGGCGAUCUAUCCAUGGGCAGGUUGAAGGUUGGGUAACACUAACUGGAGGACCGAACCGACUACCGUUGAAAAGUUAGCGGAUGACCUGUGGAUCGGAGUGAAAGGCUAAUCAAGCUCGGAGAUAGCUGGUUCUCCUCGAAAGCUAUUUAGGUAGCGCCUCAUGUAUCACUGUAGGGGGUAGAGCACUGUUUCGGCUAGGGGGUCAUCCCGACUUACCAAACCGAUGCAAACUCCGAAUACCUACAAGUGCCGAGCAUGGGAGACACACGGCGGGUGCUAACGUCCGUCGUGAAAAGGGAAACAACCCAGACCGUCAGCUAAGGUCCCAAAGUCAUGGUUAAGUGGGAAACGAUGUGGGAAGGCUUAGACAGCUAGGAGGUUGGCUUAGAAGCAGCCACCCUUUAAAGAAAGCGUAAUAGCUCACUAGUCGAGUCGGCCUGCGCGGAAGAUGUAACGGGGCUCAAACCAUGCACCGAAGCUACGGGUAUCAUCUUUUGAUGAUGCGGUAGAGGAGCGUUCUGUAAGCCUGUGAAGGUGAGUUGAGAAGCUUGCUGGAGGUAUCAGAAGUGCGAAUGCUGACAUGAGUAACGACAAUGGGUGUGAAAAACACCCACGCCGAAAGACCAAGGUUUCCUGCGCAACGUUAAUCGACGCAGGGUUAGUCGGUCCCUAAGGCGAGGCUGAAAAGCGUAGUCGAUGGAAAACAGGUUAAUAUUCCUGUACUUCUGGUUAUUGCGAUGGAGGGACGGAGAAGGCUAGGCCAGCCUGGCGUUGGUAGUCCAGGUUUAAGGUGGUAGGCUGAGAUCUUAGGUAAAUCCGGGAUCUUAAGGCCGAGAGCUGAUGACGAGUGUUCUUUUAGAACACGAAGUGGUUGAUGCCAUGCUUCCAAGAAAAGCUUCUAAGCUUCAGGUAACCAGGAACCGUACCCCAAACCGACACAGGUGGUUGGGUAGAGAAUACCAAGGCGCUUGAGAGAACUCGGGUGAAGGAACUAGGCAAAAUGGCACCGUAACUUCGGGAGAAGGUGCGCCGGUGGAGGUGAAGCAUUUACUGCGUAAGCCCCUGCCGGUCGAAGAUACCAGGCCGCUGCGACUGUUUAUUAAAAACACAGCACUCUGCAAACACGAAAGUGGACGUAUAGGGUGUGACGCCUGCCCGGUGCCGGAAGGUUAAUUGAUGGGGUUAGCGCAAGCGAAGCUCUUGAUCGAAGCCCCGGUAAACGGCGGCCGUAACUAUAACGGUCCUAAGGUAGCGAAAUUCCUUGUCGGGUAAGUUCCGACCUGCACGAAUGGCGUAACGAUGGCGGCGCUGUCUCCACCCGAGACUCAGUGAAAUUGAAAUCGCUGUGAAGAUGCAGUGUAUCCGCGGCUAGACGGAAAGACCCCGUGAACCUUUACUAUAGCUUUGCACUGGACUUUGAAUUUGCUUGUGUAGGAUAGGUGGGAGGCUUUGAAGCGUGGACGCCAGUCUGCGUGGAGCCAACCUUGAAAUACCACCCUGGCAACUUUGAGGUUCUAACUCAGGUCCGUUAUCCGGAUCGAGGACAGUGUAUGGUGGGUAGUUUGACUGGGGCGGUCUCCUCCUAAAGAGUAACGGAGGAGUACGAAGGUGCGCUCAGACCGGUCGGAAAUCGGUCGUAGAGUAUAAAGGCAAAAGCGCGCUUGACUGCGAGACAGACACGUCGAGCAGGUACGAAAGUAGGUCUUAGUGAUCCGGUGGUUCUGUAUGGAAGGGCCAUCGCUCAACGGAUAAAAGGUACUCCGGGGAUAACAGGCUGAUACCGCCCAAGAGUUCAUAUCGACGGCGGUGUUUGGCACCUCGAUGUCGGCUCAUCACAUCCUGGGGCUGAAGCCGGUCCCAAGGGUAUGGCUGUUCGCCAUUUAAAGUGGUACGCGAGCUGGGUUUAGAACGUCGUGAGACAGUUCGGUCCCUAUCUGCCGUGGACGUUUGAGAUUUGAGAGGGGCUGCUCCUAGUACGAGAGGACCGGAGUGGACGAACCUCUGGUGUUCCGGUUGUCACGCCAGUGGCAUUGCCGGGUAGCUAUGUUCGGAAAAGAUAACCGCUGAAAGCAUCUAAGCGGGAAACUUGCCUCAAGAUGAGAUCUCACUGGAACCUUGAGUUCCCUAAAGGGCCGUCGAAGACUACGACGUUGAUAGGUUGGGUGUGUAAGCGCUGUGAGGCGUUGAGCUAACCAAUACUAAUUGCCCGUGAGGCUUGACCAU